rnacentral:lncRNA from 1 species
AAUGUUCAGCAAAAUAAGAUCUACAAAUAAGUCAAACAUGACCAAAAUUGUCAAUUGACCCCUUAAGGAGUUAUUGUCCUUUAUAGUCUAUUGUUAACAAUUUUCAUAAAUUUUUGUUAUUUUUUGUAAAUUUUUAGGAAAUAUUUUCCACUGUAAUUACUGGGCCAAGUUCAUUAUAGAUAGAGAUAAUUGUAGCAACAAGAAUGUUCAGUAAAGAAAGAUCUACAAACACAUUACUAUCA